rnacentral:misc_RNA from 1 species
GUGAAUCAUCGAAUUUUUGAACGCAAAUUGAACUCUCUUCGGAGAGUAUGCCUGUUGGAGGGUCAGCCUAAAAAAAUGGACGUAGUCGCUGUUUCGUGGUGACAUUCGGCGGAAAUUGGGUCGUCUUAAACCGUUGGGGUUUUUAAGCGGCUUAAAAUUUUCUUUACGAUUCCACGAACGUGUCGAAGAUUUUACUUCUUACACACGUUUAAGGUAUCUAUCUUUAUUAGACGUGGCCGUGGCAUCGGAUAGCGUCCAUAAAUAUUUCGUUAACUGACCUCA